GACCGCUCCGAUGGCCUAGUGGUUAGAGCGUCCGUCUCCGAUGCGGGAGGUCGUGGGUUUGAACCCCAGCCGAGUCA